rnacentral:rRNA from 1 species
AUACGGAGGAUGCGAGCGUUAUCCGGAUUUAUUGGGUUUAAAGGGUGCGUAGGCCGACUUUUAAGUCAGCGGUGAAAUUUUCCGGCUUAACCGGGACCUUGCCGUUGAAACUGAUAGUCUUGAGUGUAAAUGAGGUAGGCGGAAUGUGUGGUGUAGCGGUGAAAUGCUUAGAUAUCACACAGAACUCCGAUUGCGAAGGCAGCUUACUGGCAUACAACUGACGCUGAGGCACGAAAGUGUGGGUAUCAAACAGGAUUAGAUACCCUGGUAGUCCACACAGUAAACGAUGAUAACUAGCCGUUGGCGAUAUACAGUCAGUGGCAGAGCGAAAGCAUUAAGUUAUCCACCUGGGGAGUACGCCGGCAACGGUGAA